GGGGUGAGGGGUAAGAGGAGAACCAGGAGCCACAGCCGCGGCUCACGCCCCACCGCAACAUUAAGAUUACAAGUGGACACCUGAGUCAGCAGGACCUGGAAUCCCAGAUGAGAGAGCUUAUCUACACGACUCAGAUCUUGUUGUCACCCCCAUUAUUGACAAUCCAAAGGUGCAGAAAGCACUCUGACAA